rnacentral:rRNA from 1 species
GUGGGGAAUCUUAGACAAUGGGGGAAACCCUGAUCUAGCCAUGCCGCGUGAGCGAUGAAGGCCUUAGGGUUGUAAAGCUCUUUCAGAGGGGAAGAUAAUGACGGUACCCUCAGAAGAAGCCCCGGCUAACUCCGUGCCAGCAGCCGCGGUAAUACGGAGGGGGCUAGCGUUGUUCGGAAUUACUGGGCGUAAAGCGCACGUAGGCGGACCAGAAAGUCAGGGGUGAAAUCCCGGGGCUCAACCCCGGAACUGCCUUUGAAACUCCUGGUCUUGAGGUCGAGAGAGGUGAGUGGAAUUCCGAGUGUAGAGGUGAAAUUCGUAGAUAUUCGGAGGAACACCAGUGGCGAAGGCGGCUCACUGGCUCGAUACUGACGCUGAGGUGCGAAAGCGUGGGGAGCAAACAGGAUUAGAAACCCGUGUAGUCC